AAGAUUUUUUGUUUUCUUUG
rnacentral:miRNA from 1 species